ACGCUCGACACCUACUGGAGGCAGCAGUCGGGAAUAUUGCGCAAUGGAGGAAACUCUGACGCAGUGACGCCGCGUAUAGGAAGAAGGUUUUCGGAUUGUAAACUAUUGUCGUUAGGGAAGAAAAAGGACAGUACCUAAGGAGGAAGCUCCGGCUAACUACGUGUCAGCAGCCGCGGUAAUCUGAGCGGGCUGGCAAGGC
rnacentral:rRNA from 1 species